GUUUCCUACGGGAGGCAGCAGUGGGGAAUAUUGCACAAUGGGGGAAACCCUGAUGCAGCGACGCCGCGUGAGUGAAGAAGUAUUUCGGUAUGUAAAGCUCUAUCAGCAGGGAAGAAAAUGACGGUACCUGACUAAGAAGCCCCGGCUAACUACGUGCCAGCAGCCGCGGUAAUACGUAGGGGGCAAGCGUUAUCCGGAUUUACUGGGUGUAAAGGGAGCGUAGACGGCAGCGCAAGUCUGGAGUGAAAUCCCAUGGCUUAACCAUGGAACUGCUUUGGAAACUGUUUGACUAGAGUGCUGGAGAG
rnacentral:rRNA from 1 species